GGCAGAGAGAGCCCGGUUCCCGCGCCCCAGCCCGCGAGCAAGGGGCGUGAGGAAAGUCCCCCCACCGUCCGGACGGGCGACCGGGCGCAAGCCCGGAGUCGGAGACGGCUGGCUCUGGAACAGAAACGAGACCGCUCGUCCUGACCCAUGACGUGUGCGAACCGACCCGUAAGGGAAGGGAGCUAACCCACGGAGGGCGCGUGGCGCGCAGCGCCACGAACUGGGCGAACGGCGAGAGCCGUGAGCCGACGGACGAGAACGGAUGGAACGGCGAACCCUCGCCGGUGCAAGCCCGUGCCCGAAGGUAGUCCGGACAGCCGGCAACGGCAGGGCGCGGGUGCUUAGCGGAAUGCCGGGUCGAAACAGAAGGGGGCUUACUCCUCUCGGCC
rnacentral:RNase_P_RNA from 1 species